rnacentral:rRNA from 1 species
AUUGAACGCUGGCGGCAGGCUUAACACAUGCAAGUCGAGCGGAGAUGAGGUGCUUGCACCUUAUCUUAGCGGCGGACGGGUGAGUAAUGCUUAGGAAUCUGCCUAUUAGUGGGGGACAACAUUCCGAAAGGAAUGCUAAUACCGCAUACGCCCUACGGGGGACAGCAGGGGAUCUUCGGACCUUGCGCUAAUAGAUGAGCCUAAGUCGGAUUAGCUAGUUGGGGGGGUAAAGGCCUACCAAGGCGACGAUCUGUAGCGGGUCUGAGAGGAUGAUCCGCCACACUGGGACUGAGACACGGCCCAGACUCCUACGGGAGGCAGCAGUGGGGAAUAUUGGACAAUGGGCGGAAGCCUGAUCCAGCCAUGCCGCGUGUGUGAAGAAGGCCUUUUGGUUGUAAAGCACUUUAAGCGAGGAGGAGGCUACCUGGAUUAAUACUCUAGGAUAGUGGACGUUACUCGCAGAAUAAGCACCGGCUAACUCUGUGCCAGCCGCCGCAGUAAGAC